UGUGUUUUGGGCAGCACUGUUAAGAACAAGCUCCCCUGUGUGUUGGUUUGUCUGCUUCUAAUUUCCCAGCUACGACAGCAGACACGUCCUGGCAAGCAGUGUUAUUCCGGUUGCGCACACGCCGCAUUUGUGGACCGAAUGAUGUGUAAAUGAUUGAUGACUCACAAUGCCUCAGAUGACAGCUCUCGAAAGGAACGGCCAAGAGUAAAGACUUGAUUUCGACAUUUCCAUGAAGAAUCGCUGACGGGCCACCACUCCGAUUAAAGGAACUGCUAAGAACAAAGGUAAAUGAUUGAUGACUCACAAUGCCUCCUACGACAGCUCUCCGGUUCAAGGAACUGCUAAGAGUAAAGACUUGAUAUUGACAUUUCCAUGGAGAAUCGCUGAUGGGCCACCACUCCGAUUAAAGGAACUGCUAAGAACAAAGUGCGAGGAUCUCUCCUACACCCUGGUAGAGGAAUGCCGCAGAAGAGAAGCAGGAGCGGAGGAUCGAGGUAGAGGGAGCAUGAUAUACGCACGCCGAUUCGUCUCGGGUGACUUCCAAGACAAACCAUUGUAACCGUUUACAGUACUUUAUACUGAUAUUGGUUCCACGUGUUUUUUUAGAAAAAAUUGUUGUAUUUUAUACUAAUCUUUUAUUGUAAGUUUAGUCCCAUAUGUAUGAGCAUGACUGUGGUUUCGCGUUUUAUGUCUACGCCUGCGGCCCGUUGUCAGAACAACUAGCACUAGAACUAGUACAACUAGCUAUAGAACUAGAACAACUAGCUCUGG